UUAAACCGACGAGAAUGUUUUUUCUUUCCGCCCACUUGACCAGCGUAUUCCAGAUUGGGUGAAACGAAUUUGCCCAAGAUGCGUGUUGUAAAAUCAAACAAUUGACAACAGACGUUUGUUUAUACACAACCUAGAGCUUUAUUCUACUGUGUUAAGCAGUUCGGAUUUAUUCUAUGCAUAUUUGCAAGUGUAAAUGGAUUUUGUAACAAUGUCGUUGAACUGAAUGUUGGUGGAAAAUUGAUGACAACAUUACUCAGUACUUUAACAAAGGAUCCCAACAGCAUGUUGGCAGCCAUGUUCAGUGGGCGUCACGUGAUUAAUAAAGACAAAGAUAGCCGAUAUUUCAUCGACUGCGAUGGACAUCUAUUUGAACAUAUUUUAAAUUACAAUGUAUCUAAGAUUUGGCGUUUUGCCCCCUAACGAAAACGCUCUGGAGAUAUAUAACAUGGCUGUUUAGUUUAAUAUUCACUCGCUUGUUACCACUCUUGAAAACUAUUCUGCUGUACAACAUUGGAAACGAAUUGAGGAAAUAAAAAAAAGAAUUGACAUUGAAGAGUAUGAACGUAUCAAACAAGAAGCAAUCAUAGAACUUUCUACCUGCAAUGCAAGACCUCAAGACACUAAAGUGUUGCAUAUCCGUACAAAGAAUAAAUGUCUACAAAAAUGUUACAACUUUAAGUAUGAAAACAGACUUCAGAAAGGUGCAAUUCACAUCUGCUUGUCAACAAACAUUGAUAAGAGGGCAUUUCACGAUAUGAUCAUAUGUUUAGCUCAUGAUAUGUAUCAGCUAGGGUUUGGGAAGUACACAUACUUUGACGGACCGUUUUCAUAUCAUUGUGAAUCAUACCACAAGGUGCAGCAGAGUGAUAAGUUUGAAUAUAAACUUUUGAUUGUUGAACACGAAAUUAUUCUGUAGUUAACUGGUAUUCAGACCGUAUAGUUCACUAAGCAUACCGCGUUUAGCUCAGCAUUACCGUGUCUGACAUAAUAACUAUAGUGAAAAUACCAGCGAAUGUAUGCAUUGGUAUAUCGAACCGUUCUACUUGUGUAUCAAUGCAUUAUGUAACAACUUGUGAAGCAGUCAGUCAUGAAGAGAUUGGCAUUGCGAUUAGACUUGAUGGUCGCACUCAACUAUUCCAAAUCCCUGAUUUUUGUUUGAUACGGAUUUGACGUAAUUCUAGCUGGACUGUGUGAUUUACCGUGGUAGCACAGUGGAUGAUUCGUAGAAAGAAUCCGAUUGAACAUGAUCUACCCAUUUUAGUCUGAUAUAUCUAAGAUAUAAAAAUAUGUACAUGUAUUGUCUAUUCCACCGUCUAUUGAAUUAUCUUUAAUUAAUCUCUUUCUUUUAAAGUUUCGUCCUAUAAUACGGGAGAUGUUCAACAUAUAUUUAAACAAUUUAAACAAUGUAUAUAUGUUCAAUGAUUUGUAAUAAAUGUUUUAUCUGA